rnacentral:rRNA from 1 species
AAUUUUGGACAAUGGUCGCAAGCCUGAUCCAGCCAUGCCGCGUGAGUGAAUAUUGCCUACGGGUUGUAAAGCUCUUUCGGACGGAAAGAGAUCACGCAGGCAAAUACCCUGCGAUGAUGACGGUAGCGUCUUAUGAACCAUCGGCACACUACGAGCCAGCAGCCGCGGUAAUACGUAGGGUGCGAUCGUUAAUCGGAAUUACUGGGCGUAAAGCGUGCGCAGGCGGUUGAUUAAGACAGGCGUGAAAUCCCCGGGCUUAACCUGGGAACUGCGCUUGUGACUGGUCAGCUAGAGUACGGCAGAGAGGGGUGGAAUUCCACGUGUAGCAGUGAAAUGCGUAGAGAUGUGGAGGAACACCGAUGGCGAAGGCAGCCCCCUGGGCCGAUACUGACGCUCAUGCACGAAAGCGUGGGUAGCAAACAGG